rnacentral:misc_RNA from 1 species
ACCGAUUAAAUUUUAAAAUCAAACUAAUUAAACUGAAUUGAUUUGAUUCUGUUCGAUUUUUUGAUUUGAACUGAAAUAUGCUCACUCCUAGAGAACAAGGCAUGUUCAACUACAGAGUUUAGGGUAAUGCUGAAUGGAUAAGUGCUACAGGAUUUCGAGAGAGAUGACAAAUAAAGGGGAACCUCAUAAAUGAAUGGAUUUAUUAAUUUCUUGGAAAUAAUAAAUAAAAUCUCCAUAAUAAAUGGAGAUUACCUAAGAUGAAAAUGGUAAUGCAUAAUGCUCUGUUUGGGUGGGGGUGAGGAAAAGGUAAAUAAGGGUAAUAAGGGGUAAGUAAUUAUUAUACUCCUGUUUGGGAAAGAGAUGAGUUAGUAAAGGAUAAGGGUAA